UACAAUGCGAAGCGAAGCAGUGAUGUGAAGCAAAUCGCACCAAAGCCGGUCCCAGUUCGGAUAAGAGGCUGAAACUCGCCUCUUUGAAGUCGGAAUCGCUAGUAAUCGCAGAUCAGCAUGUUGCGGUGAAUACGUUCCCGGGUCUUGUACACACCGCCCGUCAAACCAUGAGAGUCACCAACACCCGAAGUCCGCUUUGGCGGCCUAAGGUGGGGGAGAUGAUUGGGGUUAAGUCGUAACAAGGUAAC
rnacentral:rRNA from 1 species